UGGCAACUGGGCCAGCAUCUGACACCUGGCAGUUCUUGGGAAAUACCUGCACACGAAUGGAGGCAAGGCCUCUCUCCAGGGGAGGACGCUGAAGAGGUGAAAAGUGAGCCUCCUGCUCUCCCUUUGAGGCAAUUUGGCAUAGCCUGGGUUCUCAGAUCAGACGGAAGUGGGUUCAGUUCUCGGCUCGGAGCCACCUUAGACUGCUGGUUGAAAUACCUCUGGGCCUGUUCCUGCCUCUGGACAGUGGGAAGGUACUGAGACUACCUCUCAGGAUUGUAAAAAGAUGAACAGUCUGUGGAAUGUUACAGAGAAAUGUUUAAACUGCCUUGUGUACUGAUGGACUGUGAGAGGAAGGUUUUGAAGGAACAUAUUUUUGGACAAAUGCUUGAUAGCUGGCUAGCAACGGCAAGUUAACAGUCAAAGAAGGAAAAGCCGGGAAAGUUAAAAGUAAUUCUUUCCAGGAACAUCUGAGACCCCAAAGCAGCAGAAAAAUGUGCAGAAAUGCAUUUUCUAGGGAGGACAUGAACACAGAGCUCCCAGAAGUGCUAAAGAAAUACCGUUUGUUAAGAUAAGUAUCCAAAAAAUACAUUCCCUGGGAAAACCAUGGCAGUAACCUGUAGAACGUUUCUUCAUUUUUAAAAUGGGUAUUUACUGUGCUUCAAUUAUAUGUACAUGUAUGUUUUCUGUUUGUCUUUUUGCCUGAGGCAGACUUCAUCUAUUCUUUUUUUUUAAAAGAAGAAAAACUUUUACAUUCUUUACGUACAUAUACCAGAAUAAAGGGCUUUGCAGUUAUAUUCCAGAAAGAAGAUUAUCCAUCAGAAUGGUUUCAGC
rnacentral:lncRNA from 1 species